GACGAACCGUGCGAACGUUGUUCGGAAUCACUGGGCUUAAAGGGCGCGUAGGCGGGGUAGUAAGUCUGUGGUGAAAUCCUCCGGCUCAACCGGAGAACGGCCGUGGAUACUGCUACUCUCGAGGGGUGUAGGGGCAUGCGGAACUCAGGGUGGAGCGGUGAAAUGCGUAGAUAUCCUGAGGAACGCCGGUGGCGAAAGCGGCGUGCUGGACACCUUCUGACGCUGAGGCGCGAAAGCCAGGGGAGCAAACGGG
rnacentral:rRNA from 1 species